rnacentral:rRNA from 1 species
AUCAACUUUCGAUGGUAGGAUAGAGGCCUACCAUGGUGGUAACGGGUAACGGGGUGUUAGGGCACGACACCGGAGAGGGAGCCUGAGAAACGGCUACCACAUCCAAGGAUGGCAGCAGGCGCGCAAAUUACCCAAUCCCGACACGGGGAGGUAGUGACAAUAAAUAACAAUACGGGGUUCUUUAGGAUCUCGUAAUUGGAAUGAGUACAAUUUAAAUCUCUUAACGAGGAACAAUUGGAGGGCAAGUCUGGUGCCAGCAGCCGCGGUAAUUCCAGCUCCAAUAGCGUAUAUUAAAGUUGUUGCAGUUAAAAAGCUCGUAGUUGAAUUUCGGGGUCAGUAGGUUGGUCGUGCCACCGGUACGUACUGGUCUCACUGAUUCCUCCUUCCUGAUGAGCUGUAAUGCCAUUAAUUUGGUGUUGCAGGGAAUCUGGACUGUUACUUUGAAAAAAUUAGAGUGUUUAAAGCAGGCUCACGCUUGAAUACAUUAGCAUGGAAUAAUGAAAUAGGACAUCCGAUUCUAUUUUGUUGGUUUCUAGGAUCGAUGUAAUGAUUAAUAGGGAAUAGUUGGGGGCAUUAGUAUUCAAUUGUCAGAGGUGAAAUUCUUGGAUUUAUUGAAGACUAACUACUGCGAAAGCAUUUGCCAAGGAUGUUUUCAUUAAUCAAGAACGAAAGUUAGGGGAUCGAAGACGAUCAGAUACCGUCGUAGUCUUAACCAUAAACUAUGCCGACUAGGGAUCGGAUGAUGUUAAUUUUUUAAUGACUCAUUCGGCGCCUUACGGGAAACCAAAGUGUUUGGGUUC